rnacentral:rRNA from 1 species
GGUUAAAAAGACUCGUAGUUGGAUUUCUGUCGGUGAGUGAAAGUCCGCUACUCAGUGGUUGGUACUUUUCAACGACCACCGGCAUCUUCCUGGGGAUUGUGUCUGCUCUUUGUUGAGUGGCGCAUAAUCCAGGACUUUUACUUUGAAGAAAUGAGAGUGUUUCAAGCAGGCCUACGCCGUGAAUACGUUAGCAUGGAAUAAUAGCAUCGGACCUCGUUCCAAAGCUGUUGGUUUCUUGGACCGAGGUAAAGGUGAAUAGGGAUUGUUGGGGCAUUCGUAUUUAACUGUCAGAGGUGAAAUUCUUGGAUUUGUUGA